GUCACACACAGCGGCACAACGGCGCAGUGCCAACUCAGUUUGUCGCCAGGAGCUCAAUCCCCUCUGUCUCAAACUUUCCAUGCCACGCCGGAGGAAGCGACGAAGCGUCAUCCCUCCUCCCCAAACAAUCAUCGCGGUGCGGCUCGGCCCACUCGGGCAGCCGCCAGGAGGUCCAUCCUCCCUCCCUCCCCUCAAACGACAUCGCGUUGUCGGGACAGGCCACGACACUAUCUCCUCGCGGCCUCGCCUUUCCUUCUCCUACUGGCGACGGUGCGGCCACACACGAGGUGGAAGUAAAUAUCCGUGGGUCCGUGGCGAGGUGCAUAGCAGCGGACCUGGCCGCCAGGAGCAGUAGUGAGGGUGCCAGGGAUGGAGGUGGCCAUCACCGCCGUCGACAUGGCAAGCUCGUCUGGUGGCGCGGUAUGCAACUUGUAUUCCCACCACUCUGCUGAGGAUGAGGCGAUGGCGUUGGACGAGGCGCAGCGGGGCACGGAGCUGCGCGAGUACUGUCGUUGUAUAGUGGCACGCUACAGAUUCCAUUCUAGGUGAGUACACCAAGGUAUCGAGGUCUUGUCUUGUCUCGGACCACGCCCUUUCCAUUCCCUUCCUUCUCUACACACGCACACGCGGCUGAUUUUCUUCAUUUGGUUUUCUACCUCUCGGUCCACGUUGAUCUGGUGAUGCGCUUUCCACGGUGUUCUUUUUUCACUCCUUUUUUCCCUCUGCCUUGUGAGUUUGUGCUGGAAUUUUUGUGCCAUGCUGAUGAAAACCGGAAUGCUUGCGUCUUCAGGUUGUUGCGGCCAUGAUGGGCAUCUCGACGAGUUGGCUUAAGCCAAGGAAGGUGGAGCACAACAUCGUAAGUACAAUGCAGAUGUUGGACAAAUGGUAGUGUUCUUUUUCCACUCAUUUUUUCCUCUGUCAUGUGAGAUUGUGCCAUUGUGGUGCAAUUUUGUAUCGAUGCUGAUAAGAACCGGAAUAUUUGCGUCUUCAGGUUGCUGCGGCCGUGAUGCACAUCUCGACAAGGUGGCUCAAGGCAUUAGUUGAGCUAACAAAGGUGGACCAGCAAAUUCCUUCCAGUCAUUAUACAAAUGUGGUGUAUCAUGGUUUUCUUAAAAAUUGGUGGUUGGUGCAUUCAUUUCGCUUAGUGCCUAGAUCUAUGUGGAUUUUGCUUCCUUGACUGAAUCGUGCGUAGAGU
rnacentral:lncRNA from 1 species